rnacentral:rRNA from 1 species
UAGGUAAGCGGGUGGAAAAGGAGCUAAAUAGGAUUCCCUCAGUAAUGGCGAAUGAACAGGGAUGAGCUCAGGCUGGAAACCGAUACAUCUGUGUCGGGCUGUAGCCUGCAGGCAUAGCGCUAUCGGCGGCUCGAGCGCAAGCCUCUUGGAAUAGAGCGUGUGCCCGGGUGAGAAUCCUGCAUUUCGCUCGAUGUCCGCUGUCCACAGUGCUUGUUCUGAGAGUCACGCUCCUCGGAAUUGGAGCGUAAAUCAGGUGGUAAGUUUCAUCCAAAGCUAAAUAGAAGCUCGAGACCAAUAGCAAACAAGUACCAUGAGGGAAAGAUGAAAAGGACUUUGGAAAGAGAGUUAAAAGUGUUUGAAAUUGCUGAGAGCGAAGCGAACGGAGCCACAUGUCGUGCUGAGAUUGCUGUGGGUCUUUGUGAGCCUUGAGCAUGUAAGCGCAAGCUGACUGGCUUAUGCGUGAGCAUUUGCCCGCAGUGUUUCUCAGCAUGCGAGUCAUUAGCCACAUUUGUUUGAGGAUGGCCUUCAGCUCACAUGGUACACUUGUUAGUGUGCCUCUGUGCGGUGUGGGACUCAGACAGGUGUGGCUUGGUGACCCAGUGGUUUUUUUCCACCCCUCUUGAAACCCGGACCC